rnacentral:rRNA from 1 species
UCAACUGAUUUGAAGAGCUUGCUCAGAUAUGACGAUGGACAUUGCAAAGAGUGGCGAACGGGUGAGUAACACGUGGGAAACCUACCUCUUAGCAGGGGAUAACAUUUGGAAACAGAUGCUAAUACCGUAUAACAAUGACAACCGCAUGGUUGUUAUUUAAAAGAUGGUUCUGCUAUCACUAAGAGAUGGUCCCGCGGUGCAUUAGCUAGUUGGUAAGGUAAUGGCUUACCAAGGCGAUGAUGCAUAGCCGAGUUGAGAGACUGAUCGGCCACAAUGGGACUGAGACACGGCCCAUACUCCUACGGGAGGCAGCAGUAGGGAAUCUUCCACAAUGGGCGAAAGCCUGAUGGAGCAACGCCGCGUGUGUGAUGAAGGGUUUCGGCUCGUAAAACACUGUUGUAAGAGAAGAAUGACAUUGAGAGUAACUGUUCAAUGUGUGACGGUAUCUUACCAGAAAGGAACGGCUAAAUACGUGCCAGCAGCCGCGGUAAUACGUAUGUUCCAAGCGUUAUCCGGAUUUAUUGGGCGUAAAGCGAGCGCAGACGGUUAUUUAAGUCUGAAGUGAAAGCCCUCAGCUCAACUGAGGAAUUGCUUUGGAAACUGGAUGACUUGAGUGCAGUAGAGGAAAGUGGAACUCCAUGUGUAGCGGUGAAAUGCGUAGAUAUAUGGAAGAACACCAGUGGCGAAAGCGGCUUUCUGGACUGUAACUGACGUUGAGGCUCGAAAGUGUGGGUAGCAAACAGGAUUAGAUACCCUGGGUAGUCCACACC